GAGAUGCAGGAAAUGUGAAAACUGCUAUGUUUCUGUUUCCACAGCAAGAGAUGAUGAGCCUUCUGGAUAAUCUGCAAGGUUAAAACAUGAAGAUGAUCAAAUGCCCCCGUGCCUUAUAUGGCCUUUUGGGAGAGCACACUCUGAAUCAGCUUGCUGAAUGUACAGGUUAUUUGUCAUGGCAGCAGAAAGUACCAGAUUGAAAAUAAAUCAGAAAUUUCUUCUACUGUGAGCAGUAUUAAUGGGUGUCAUACAAAGAAAGUUUUAUCCAAAUAAAGAAAGAGGAAACAGGCUACAAUAUAUAAAACAUUGAAUAUACUAGAGUCAGAUGUCAGUAUUUUUUCAGGACAAGUGUUCAGCAUUUCACAGGAAGGAGAUUAAUUCCCCCCAGUCCUGAUUAUCAUUAACACUGGAAGGUUGUAUUAGCACACUCAAGAAAAUUUUUGUUUUUGUAUUAUACCUUUACUUGAUAAAAAUAUGACUUCUAGGAUAUAUUCUAUAAAAAUUAUCAAAAUAAAGAGGCAAUUUAUAGUCACAUUAGCUCAAGGGAAAAGCUGCUGUUUAGUUAAGAAAAGUUCAGUUCUUUUAUUGCUAGAUUUUUUUUUUUUGAGACAGGGUCUCACUCUGUUGCCCAGGCUGGAGUGCAGUUGUGUGGUCAAUUUACUCCAGCCUUGACCUCCUGGGCUCAAGCGAUCCUCCCACCUCUCAGCUUCCUGAGUAGCUGGGACUACAGAUGCACAUCACGACACCCAGUUACUUUUUGUAGUUUUUCACAGAGAAGAGGUUUCACCAUGCUGCCCAGGCUGGUCUCAAACUCCUGGGCUCAAGCAGUCUGCCAGCCUCAGUCUCCCACAGUGCUGGGAUUACAGGCAUGAGCCACUGCACCUGGCCAGCUGCAUUCUUUUAAAAUUAUUUUUCUUGUCAUGGUUACUAUACUGAUAGAGAGUAACUGGAAUAAGCUAUGCAUAAUUAUCAUGUACCCCGGGGCUUCAUUGUGACCUGGAGCUCUCUACUGGAUUUUCAAACCAGGCUGACAGAAGAGCUCAGUGAGGAGAGAAACUGACUUUACCUUCCUUACUAGGAAAUAAAGGAACUACACCUAAUGGAUAGAGGUCAUAUAAUUAAAAUUGACAGUUCCUCUUUGGAAGUUUCCAAAUUUGGGAUGAGCAGAGCUCCCAUUGUUUACUAGAGCCUAGGAAAAACAGAGCCUAAGGCACCAUCUACUACUGAAAAGAAGACAGUGACCUAGUGAGGAAAAAAACGAAAUCCAACAGGCAAAUUACAAAGAAUAUCUAAGCAAACAUAAUGAAUAAAAACCAAAACAAGAUAGACAGAGAAGACUGGAAUAAAUAACUAAUUCUUCAAUGCAAAAACAGACAUGCAUACACAAGAAGUAAUACUGAACAGGGAACCAUAACCUUCCCAAAUGGACAAAGCAAGGAACCAGUGACUGACCCUAAUGAGACAGCAAUAUUUGAGCCCUCUGAUCAGCAAUUCAAAAUGGCAAUAUUAUGGAAACUCAGUGAUUUCCAAGAUAACACAGAGAAGCAAUUCAGAAAUUUAUCAGAAAAAAUUAACAAAAAAUUUAAAUAGAAAAAAUCAGACAGAAAUCAUGAAACUUAGAAAUACAUUUGCUAAUCUGAAAAAAAUCAUUAGAGGGUCUCAAUAACAAAAUGGAGCUGAAGAAAGAAUUAGUGAGCUCAAAGAAAAGCUUUUUGAAAAUAAAGGAGAGAAAAAGAAUGAAAAGGAAAAGAGAUCACCUACAAGAUACAGAAAACUGCCUCAAAACGUCAAAUGUAAGAAUUAUUUGUGUACAAGAGGGAGUUGAGCAACAGCAAGGGGAUCAAAAGCAUAAUUCAAUAAAUAAUAACAAAAACUUUCCAAAACUUGAGAAAGAUAAAUAUCCAGGUAUAGGAAAGUCAGAGCACAUCAAACAGAUUCAACCAAAGUCGUCUACCCCACAGGCACAUAAUAGUCAAACUACCCCAAGGCAUAUAAUAGUCAAACUCUCAAAGGUCAAGGUGAAACAGAAGAUCCUAAAUACAGCAAGAGAAAAGAUGUGCAUAACAUAUAAAGGAGCUUCAAUUUAUUUGGCAACAGACUUCUCAAUGGAAACCAUACAGGCCAGGAGGGAGUAGAAUGACAUUUUCAAACUACUGAGGGGCAGGGAGCAGGAAGCUACCAUCCAAGAAUACUGUAUCCAGCAAAGUUAUCCUUCAUAAAUAAAGCAGAGAUAAAGUCUUUCCCAGAUAAACAAAAGCUGAGAGAAUUAACCAUCACCAGACCAAUCUUACAAGAAAUGGUAAAGGAGCUCUUCAAUUUGAAAGCAUGCAAAAAGAGAACAUUUGAAGGUGUACAAUCCACUGGUAAAAUUAAGUACAUGGACAAACCCAGAGUACUCUACUACUGUAAUUGUGUAAUCAACUCAAAACUCUAGUAUGAAGCCCAGAAGACAAAUCUGUCAAAAACAAUAAUCACUGAAAAAACCUGUUAAAAGAUAGGUAGUAUACAAAUACAUAAGUAGAGAUGAUUAAAAUCAAAACGUAGAGAGGAUGAAGUUAAAUUGUAGAAUUUUUUUCUUUGUUUCUAUUAUUUUCUUUGUGGUUUAAGAUAAGCUGUCCUCUCUUUAAAAUAACUUGUUUCAUCUACGACAUAUUUUUUGGUAAGCCUCAUGGUAGCCAGAAUGCAAAAACCUGAACUCAAAAUAGCUGUUUUGAGGAAGCUCAAUGAAAAUCAAGAUAACACAGAGAAAGAAUUCAGAAUCUUACCGGAUAAAUUUUAAAAUGGGAUGGAAAUAAUUAAAAGGAACCAAGCAGAAAUUCUUGAGCUGAAAAAUUCAAUUGACUACUGACGAAUGCAGAAGGGUUUCUUAACAGCAGAAUUGACUAAACAGAAGAAAGAAUUAGUGAGCUUGAGGACAGGCUACUUGAAAAUACACACAGAGAAGAGACAGAAAAAGGAAUAAAGAAAAAAGCACACUCACAAGAUCUAGAAAAUAGCCUAAAACUGGCAAAUCUAAGAGUUAUUGGCCUUAAAGAGGAGGUAGAGAGAAAGAUAGGGGUAGAAAGUUUAUUCAAAGGAAUAAUGACAGAACUUCCCAAACCUAGAGAAUGACAUUAAUAUUCAAUUACAAGAAGGUGAUAGAAGACCAAACAGAUUUAAGCCAAAUAAGACUACAUCGAGACAUUUGAUAAUAAAACUUCCAAAGGUGAAAAAUAAAGAAAGGAUCCUAAAAGCAGCAAGAAACAAAUAACAUACAAUGGCACUUCAAUAUAUCUUGCAGAAGACUUUUCAGUGGAAACCUCACAGGCCAGGAGAGACUGGCAUGAAAUAUUUAAAGUGUUGAAGGAAUAAAAUCCCUUUUUACCCUAGAAUAGUAUAUAUAGCAAAAGUAUUCUUUAAACAUGUAGGAGAAAUAAAGACUUUCCCAGAAAAACAAAAACUGAAGAAUUACAUCAACAGCAGAAGUGUUCUAUAAGAAAUGCUAAAAGGAGUUCUUUGAUGUGAAAGAAAAGAAUGUUAAUGAGCAAAAAUAAAUAAUUUGAAGGUACAAAACUCACUGGUAAUAGCACAAAGAAAACACAGAAUAUUGUAACACUGUAGGUGUGAUAAGUAAACUACUCAUAUCUUGAGUAGAAAGACUAAAAGAUGAACUGAUCAAAAAUAACUAUAACAACUGUUGAGGGCAUAGGCAGUACAAUAAGAUAUAAAUAAUAGACAUAAAAAAAUUAAAAGCAUGAGGAUGAAGUUCAGUUGUAGUUUUUAUUAGUUUUAUCUUUGUUUGUUUAUGCAAUUAGUGUUGUCAUCAGUUUAAAAUAAUGGGUUAUAUUACUGCAAGCCUUACAAUUUGUAUUAGUCAGGGUUCUCUAGAGGGACAGAACUAAUGGAAUAUAUCUAUAGGGGAUUUUAUUAUUAACUCACAUGAUCACAAGGUCCCAAAAUAGGCUGUCUGCAGGCUGAGGAGAAAGGAGAGCCAGUCUAAGUUCCAAAACUGAAGAACUUGGAGUCCGACAUUCAAAGACAGAAAGCAUCCAGCAUGAGAGUAAGAUGUAGGCUGGGAGGCUAGGCCAGUCUCUCUUUUCACAUUUUUCUGUCUGCUUAUAUUCUAGCCACACGGACAGCUGAUUAGAUUGUGCCCACUCAAAUUAAGGGUGGGUCUGCCUUUCCCAGCCCACUGACUCAAAUGUUAAUCUCCUUUGGCAACACUGUCACAGAAACACCCAGGAUCAAUACUUUGUAUUAUUCAAUCCAAUCAAGUUGACCAGUAUUAACCAUCACAAGUCCACCUUUUGUCAACUUGAACCCAUACACAUCUCCUGAGAUCAUACGUAAUAUUCAAAUAUAGAUGAUAAUAAGGACUUAGAUAUACCAAACAUAAUACAACUAUCCUUUGUACAACUGCAAUUGCACCAAUCCCCAACCCAAAUACUAUUACAUAAAGUUAACAAUACUUAAAUGUUGAUGUGAAGUCAAUAAAUUUUAUGUCACAUGAUAAAGGAGAAAGGAAAUAAAAUGAAGACAUUUUCUUAGUACAAGUGUAUAUAUGCACAAACAUUUUUUUUUUAGCAAAAGAAGUAGGAAAUACUCAUGACAAGUACAAUCUUCAUUUCUCCAGCUGGUCACGUGGUUGUAGCUGGUACUGACGACUACCUUCUUCUACAACCCAUUCUGUAUUCCCUGUGCCUUCAGCAAGCACUUCAGUAGGUCGUGUUUUUUUUUCCUGAUAAAGUGACCCAAACCUUCAUUCCUGAAGGGUCUGGGUCAUUUGUAGUCCUGCCUGGAUUGUGCUGUUGUAGUUUCCCAUUGACCAUAAUCACAGGGCAUGGUAAUACUAACAGACACCCUAAUGGAUCUCCUGUAUUCCAUGCAUACUCUUCCUUACAUCCAUUGUGCAGUAGUAGACUGAUUUCAUCUUGAUAGUCUGGGUCAAUCACCCCAGUCAACACUGUAACUCCAUUCUUAGCCUAUUGACUUAAAGGUAGGAGAAGCCCAAAAUGUCCAGGUGGCAAUCAUAACUUCCUGUUUAAUGGAAUCCUUGUUGUGUCUCCUGGUGGCAGCAUUCCUCCCUCUGAAAUAAGACUCUCACUCAGGGCAAUCUUAGCAGAUUUGAGACUUUGUAUCUGCUUCUGAAGCUGGGAGACAGAAUCCUUGAGUUCAUCAUUUUCUUUCACCAGUUUUUCCACUGAACUUAGGAGCAGCCAACCAGCUUCAUUAUGUUCCUUGGUUCUCCACAUAAGGUCAAAGGUAUUAUGUAUAGAGUCACUAAACUCCUUGCCUCUCAUGAGCAAUAAAUCAGGAGUGUCGAGUGUAUUUAUUUUGCUAACUCUCUAAACAUUUCAUGCCAAGGACCAUCAGUGUUCUCCAUACUAUUAGAAGUAGAGUCCUUAACAUUGUGUCUAAUCAUAUUAAGCAGCCAAUCACAGAAACCCCCAAACCAACAAAAGAACUCCAUCCUUAAUAUUCUGUUCUUCUAGAACCACUCCUGGUACCAAAAUCUGUAUUAGUCAGGGUUCUCUAGAGAAACAGAACUAAUGGAAUUAUAUAUAUGAGUUUAUUAAAUAUUAUACCACCACAAGGUCCACAAUAGGCUGUCUGCAGGCUGAGGAGCAAGGAGAGCCAGCCCGAGUUCCAAAACUGAAGAACUUGGAGUCUGAUGUUUGAGGGCACAAAGCAUCCAGCAUGGGAGAAAGAUGUAGGCUGGGAGGCUAGGACAGUCUAUCUUUCCACAUUUUUUUGCCUACUUAUAUUCUAGCCACGCUGGCAGCUGAUUAGAUUGUGCCCACCCAAAUUAAGAAUGAGUCUGCUGUUCCCAACCCACUGAUUCUCAAAUGUUAACCAACUUUGGCAACACCAUCACAGACACACCAAGGAUCAAUACUUUGUAUCCUUCAAUCCACUCAAGCAAUCAAGUUGACACUCAGUAUUAACCAUCAUAUGGGUUACUGCAAAUCAAAAAACAUAUUACAGAUACACAAAAAAUAAAAAGUGAGAAAUUAAAACAUACCACAAGAGAAAAUCAACUUUACUUAAAAGAAGACAGGAAGGACAAAAAACAAAAACAAAAACAAAACAAAACAAAACAAAAAC